CACACACACAGACACAGGAUACACACACACACAGACACAGGAUACCUGUAUCCGUAACAGGAGGAAAGAGGGGGAGUAAAGAGAAGAGGGUAAAAGCCCGUCCAGGGCCGAUGACUCAUCACAACACCUGAGGCGCUUAGUGGUGACAUCAUCACUACUGUGACAUCACGACCCUGACUGAUGAUGGCUUUAACAGCUCAUGGCAAAAGGUCCCAGCAUUGAUAUAAUGUACCACGCGUGUGUGUGUGUGUGUGUGUGUGUGUGUGUCUGUGUGUGUGUGUGUAUUAGCAUUCUGUAAAAGACCCCAGGGUUCCUUCUCUGUCCAGUAUAAAUAUAAACAUUUAAACACAGAAACACACGUCAACACGAGACACUAGAUGCUUGGUGUCCUCAGUCUUGCAGUGAGGAGCAGAAUGAACAGUGUAAUGCUGAAUGUUACGUGUUAACUCUAUAUAGACAGUGAGGAGCAGAAUGAACAGUGUAAUGCUGAAUGUUACCUGUUAACUCUAUAUAGACAGUGAGGAGCAGAAUGAACAGUGUAAUGCUGAAUGUUACCUGUUAACUCUAUAUAGACAGUGAGGAGCAGAAUGAACAGUGUAAUGCUGAAUGUUACCUGUUAACUCUAUAUAGACAGUGAGGAGCAGAAUGAACAGUGUAAUGCUGAAUGUUACCUGUUAACUCUAUAUAGACAGUGAGGAGCAGAAUGAACAGUGUAAUGCUGAAUGUUACGUGUUAACUCUAUAUAGACAGUGAGGAGCAGAAUGAACAGUGUAAUGCUGAAUGUUACCUGUUAACUCUAUAUAGACAGUGAGGAGCAGAAUGAACAGUGUAAUGCUGAAUGUUACGUGUUAACUCUAUAUAGACAGUGAGGAGCAGAAUGAACAGUGUAAUGCUGAAUGUUACGUGUUAACUCUAUAUAGACAGUGAGGAGCAGAAUGAACAGUGUAAUGCUGAAUGUUACGUGUUAACUCUAUAUAGACAGUGAGGAGCAGAAUGAACAGUGUAAUGCUGAAUGUUACGUGUUAACUCUAUAUAGACAGUGAGGAGCAGAAUGAACAGUGUAAUGCUGAAUGUUACGUGUUAACUCUAUAUAGACAGUGAGGAGCAGAAUGAACAGUGUAAUGCUGAAUGUUACGUGUUAACUCUAUAUAGACAGUGAGGAGCUGAAUGAACAGUGUAAUGCUGAAUGUUACGUGUUAACUCUAUAUAGACAGUGAGGAGCAGAAUGAACAGUGUAAUGCUGAAUGUUACGUGUUAACUUGAAAACACAACGUCAAAAACAAAAUGAAACUGCUCCCGAAAAUGAUUAAAUGAUAAAACUAUAAAAUGUAUGUGUUGAUAUGUGUACAUAAAUUGGUCAUCAAAUGUGAUCUGAUCUUUAUAGACACAACAAUAGACAAACACAGUCUGCUUCAACUAAUAACACACAAAUUAUUGUAUUUUUCUUGUCUAUAUUGAAUACAUCAUUUAAACCUUCACAGUGCAGGUUGGAAAAAGUAUGUGAACCCCGAGGCUAAUCACUUCUCCAAAAGCUAAUUGGAGUCAGGAGUCAACUGACCUGGAGUCCAAUCAAUGAGACGAGAUUAGAGAUGAUGGUUAGAGCUGCCCUAUAAAAAAACACUCACACAGUCAGAGUUUACUGUUCACAAGAAGCAUUGCCUGAUGUGAACCAUGCCUCGAACAAAAGAGAUCUCAUAAGACCUAAAAUUAACCUAUUUAAUCCCAUCAGUCACAAUAGUGAAAAAAAAAAUGCUUUCAGUUAUAAGGUUCUAUAAAUGUUACUGAAUGGCGUAUCAAUGUAUUUCCAGUUAUAAGGCUCUAUAAAUGUUACUGAAUGACAUAUCAAUGUAUUUCCAGUUAUAAGGCUCUAUAAAUGUUACUGAAUGACAUAUCAAUGUAUUUCCAGUUAUAAGGCUCUAUAAAUGUUACUGCAUGACGUAUCAAUGUAUUUCCAGUUAUAAGGCUCUAUAAAUGUUACUGAAUGACGUGUCAAUGUAUUUCCAGUUAUAAGGCUCUAUAAAUGUUACUGAAUGACAUAUCAAUGUAUUUCCAGUUAUAAGGCUCUAUAAAUGUUACUGAAUGACGUAUCAAUGUAUUUCCAGUUAUAAGGCUCUAUAAAUGUUACUGAAUGACGUAUCAAUGUAUUUCCAGAUAUAAGGCUCUAUAAAUGUUACUGAAUGACAUAUCAAUGUAUUUCCAGUUAUAAGGCUCUAUAAAUGUUACUGAAUGACGUAUCAAUGUAUUUCCAGUUAUAAGGCUCUAUAAAUGUUACUGAAUGACGUAUCAAUGUAUUUCCAGUUGUCACGAACCGGCUCAAAGCCCGUAACAAAGGGAGACAACGUGGAGAUAAGGAGUAGCAAAAUAUGUAUUUAUUACCUAAAGCAACUAAGUAUAAUAUACAAUGGUGUGUGUAAUCAGUAAUCAGUAGUGUAAGUGAGUGUUUUGCAUGCAUGAAUGUGAUAAUGCAGGGUGAUGAAAGGUGCCAAAGCAAACAAACAAACGGCCACCAAGAACCACAACACAAUCUACAAAGGGUGUCUGCAUGGAGAGAGUCUCCUCCAUGAAUGUGGAAGAGGUCUAUUUAUCCUGGGAGACACCUGGCCCAGGUGUUUCCCAUGUAGCUGACGACCCUCCCAACUCCGCCCACCGGCAUCCUAAUAAGGAAACAAGAACAAAGACAGAAUACGGCAGACAAGAGUGGGAGGGUCGUCACACAGUUAUAAGGCUCUAUAAAUGUUACUGAAUGAUGUAUCAAUGCAUUUCCAGCAAAUAUUGAAAUAAAAGAGGGUCUCAAUGAAAUAUGUGCAGUGUCACAUGUUCAAUGUACAUUGUCUCAUGUUUACUGUAAUUUGGCACAUGUUCAGUGUUAAUUGUCACAUGACCAGAGCUGUUUACUUCCUGGUUGCACCAUGAGAAGAGGAUGGCUGCAUCAAAGCUCCCAAACAAAAGUUUGACUUUGAGUCAAGUUCUGGAUAUGUUGGACCUAGGUGACGGCCCAGACAAGGCAACAUUGCAGUUAUCCCUCAAAAUGAGAAAGCUGCUGUCCUCCGUGAUUGUGAUGGCGAUGGGUCAGAUAUGGACUAUGAGGGGGAGACAGGCCAUUUGCCAGCCAGGCUGUUGAAUGUAUAUGCUGAACCUAUCACAAACAGAUCAUGACAGGAACAAUGUUAUCAGUGAUGAUGACCUUCCCCUCACUUGCCUCACCCAGUGUUAAGGGAAUUUUUUUAUCAAUGAUGACUAAUUAUGGACACAUUUCAAUCAGGACUGACUAAUCAGAAUACUAUUAUAUUACUGUAUAUGUACUAAUCAGAAUACUAUUAUGUUACUGUAUAUGUACUAAUCAGAAUACUAUUAUGUUAGUGUAUAUGUACUAAUCAGAAUACUAUUAUGUUAGUGUAUAUGUACUAAUCAGAAUACUAUUAUGUUACUGUAUAUGUACUAAUCAGAAUACUAUUAUGUUACUGUAUAUGUACUAAUCAGAAUACUAUUAUGUUACUGUAUAUGUACUAAUCAGAAUACUAUUAUGUUACUGUAUAUGUAUGAGUUUUCUUUCUUGAUCUAGUACUGAAUAUAAUGUGUGUGAAUGUCAUCAAGAGGUAGAACAAUGACGGUCUGUUCCUGGGUAGGAAUGAAUGAACGAUAUCUUCAGACUGGCUAGAAUGCUUAUCUACACCGGAAAACCUUGGCUCAGCCAUAAAUUAUAUUAAAUUGGUAGGGAGACGGAUGUGGGAAGGCUUGAGAUACAUCCUUUGUACUGGAACGGAGAUGGCACGGGUUGGUACUGGAACUAAUGACGUCAUUUUCAGUUUAUAACCUGUGGUAACCUGUAUCGUGUUCAGUACUCUCGUGAAUAAACUCUGCUGUUGGACUUUAA